GGUCCGUUGGUGUAAUGGUGAGCACGUCCUGUUCGACCUGGUGUGAAGAUAUGGGUUCGAAUCCCAUGCGGGCCA
rnacentral:tRNA from 1 species